rnacentral:rRNA from 1 species
UGCACCCUACGGGAGGCAGCAGUAGGGAAUCUUCCACAAUGGACGAAAGUCUGAUGGAGCAACGCCGCGUGAGUGAAGAAGGGUUUCGGCUCGUAAAGCUCUGUUGGUAGUGAAGAAAGAUAGAGGUAGUAACUGGCCUUUAUUUGACGGUAAUUACUUAGAAAGUCACGGCUAACUACGUGCCAGCAGCCGCGGUAAUACGUAGGUGGCAAGCGUUGUCCGGUUUUAUUGGGCAUAAA